UACUAGCGAGGACUCUCUGACCAAGGCCAUGAGUAGGACGACAUCCCGCAACCUUGACUUCAAAGGUUAUUCGUGCAUGUAUGCGAUGGCUCCGUACUUGGUCUAUUCUGUAGAAGUCGGAGGACAGAGACAUUUUUAUGACGGCGUCUACACGACUGGAGCAUACGACCAGGGAGGUUUUCUCCCUCCAUGGAUGGCAGUGUAAUCUCCGUAUAGGAUCAGCCCCACCCUAGGCUGGAUUGGUUUAUUUUUGCUGCAAAACAAUGUUUAUUUUUUGGUCGUUUGGAUUUGUUGGUUGUGUGCAUCAUAUUAUGCAGAGGCCGGGCAUUCUUUGGAUGCGGUUGUAUCACCUUCAUAAAUCAAUUCAAUGAAAUGUCCUUUAUCGGAAAAAAAAAGAGCGCAUGAGAUCACCUAUAUUUGAUGAAUUAUUCCUUUGGUGCCACAUAGAGUAGAGAUCCUACCAAGACGUUCCCAUUGGGAAUAAUUAAAGGACUCCCUACGUUUCUAAAUAUAAGACAUUUUAGAGAUUUUAAUAAUGACUACAUAUGAAUGUAUAUAAACGCAUUUCAGAGCGUGGAUUCACAUAAUUCGUUCUAUAUAUAGUCUAUAUUGAAAUCUCUAAAAAAAGACAUAUAUUUAGGAAUGAAGUAAGUACUAUAUUUGAAAAGACAUAUUUAGGAAUGGAGUAAUAAGUACUACAAUUGAGAAGAUACGGCAAUAGAAUACUUACCAUAUGCGUAACUUAUCCUCGUCAGCCGCUCCUAUUUAUAUACCACGGCCAGACAGACGUACCCGACCAUAGCUAGCGAAACACGGGAGAAAGCCCUAGACUAGAAACUACAAAUUGAUCGAAGAACCGCCAAGCUCGAUAGAUCGCCGUAACAGCAGUGCCGACACAGCAUGGCGACCAGAGUUGUGUCUCUUGCUCUCUGCGCUCUCCUCGCACUCUCCCUAGUGUGUCAGGCGGUUUCUCGUGUGGAUCCUGCCAGAGGGGUGGCGGUGAACGGGUACCCGUGCGGCAACGUGGUCGUCAUCCGCGUCCCGCACGAGGGUGUCUGCCAGCGGGACCGUUGCGGCGGGCUGUGCGUGGAGCAGUUCAUGUGGAAGUACCCGGGCAUCAAGGCCGUCAUAGGCGACUGCACGAAUGAGAAUACCCACGAAUGUAUCUGCUCUUUUCUUUGCUAGUUGAACUUGAUGUAUAAGGGUAGUAGCCAAUGUUGUGAUGUUGUUUGGCUCGUAAGAAAUAAAACUUGCUGCCCAUUCUUUUCU